UCUACGGGAGGCAGCAGUGAGGAAUAUUGGUCAAUGGGCGCGAGCCUGAACCAGCCAAGUAGCGUGAAGGAUGACUGCCCUACGGGUUGUAAACUUCUUUUAUAAAGGAAUAAAGUGAGGCACGUGUGCCUUUUUGUAUGUACUUUAUGAAUAAGGAUCGGCUAACUCCGUGCCAGCGGCCGCGGUAAUACGGAGGAUCCGAGCGUUAUCCGGAUUUAUUGGGUUUAAAGGGAGCGUAGAUGGGUUGUUAAGUCCGUUGUGAAAGUUUGCGGCUCAACCGUAAAAUUGCAAUUGAUACUGGCAGUCUUGAGUACAGUUGAGGUAGGCGGAAUUCGUGGUGUAGCGGUGAAAUGCUUAGAUAUCACGAAGAACUCCGAUUGCGAAGGCAGCUUACUAAACUGCCACUGACAUUGAUGCUCGAAAGUGUGGGUAUCAAACAGGAUUAGAUACCCCUGUAGUC
rnacentral:rRNA from 1 species